AACAUGAUGCACACAGUUCCUCCAUCAGCCCGGCCUGCAGACACGCCUGUGGGCAUGUUCUCUGGAGGUUGAUGUAGGAGGAACCAGCACUGUAGACAGGACCCUCUGGGCAGGCUCAAGAGCAGAUGGGGAGAGAACCACUUUUAAUGAAGAUCACGCAGCGAGAGAAGACGAUCUCCUUGUCCCAGCAGAGGCAGGCAACCUCCUGUAAAAUGCUACACAGCAAACAUUUUGACUUGGCAGGCAAUACUGUCGUGACGACUUAAGUCUCCCACUACAGUGCAAAAGCAACUACAGACAGCGAGAAAGCAAGCCUGUGACUGUGCCACUUUACAUGAUGGACAUGAACAAGAGUCUACCUUUCAGAGCUGUAAGACUUCCCCCAACUACUUAAAAAUAAUACAAUAACCAUUUUUAGUAUGCAGACCAGACUAAAACAGAAAACAAGCCAAAUUUAGCCCAGGGGCCACCAUUUGCCAAUCCUUAUUCUUGAUAACAAUGAAGCAAAUGAACAAUGAAACAAACUUCAUUCUCCUAAGCAUCCCUUAUUGCUGUGGAGCACACGUUCCAUGCACAGCCGCUUGCUUGCACAAGACAGAGGCGCUCCUCUCUUCUGUAAGGGUAGCACUCUGGAGUCCACGACUAUGAAGCAUGGCAUGUAAUUAUAUCCAUGUACCAAACACACAAAGUUAUACUUUGAUAUGGGAAGACCUGAGCUCCUUCACAUCUUCUCGUCGUUGCCACCAAGAAAGAGCAGCAGGCUAGAUGCAGAGUGUUUCCCUGAACCAGGAGUGGCCAGCACAAUUCCACCUCCCCACAGGCUCCAAAGUACAUCCUGUGUGACACAGGAGUAA
rnacentral:lncRNA from 1 species